rnacentral:rRNA from 1 species
AUGAACGCUAGCUACAGGCUUAACACAUGCCAGUCGAGGGGCAGCAUGGUCUUAGCUUGCUAAGGCCGAUGGCGACCGGCGCACGGGUGAGUAACACGUAUCCAACCUGCCGUCUACUCUUGGACAGCCUUCUGAAAGGAAGAUUAAUACAAGAUGGCAUCAUGAGUCCGCAUGUUCACAUGAUUAAAGGUAUUCCGGUAGACGAUGGGGAUGCGUUCCAUUAGAUAGUAGGCGGGGUAACGGCCCACCUAGUCUUCGAUGGAUAGGGGUUCUGAGAGGAAGGUCCCCCACAUUGGAACUGAGACACGGUCCAAACUCCUACGGGAGGCAGCAGUGAGGAAUAUUGGUCAAUGGGCGAGAGCCUGAACCAGCCAAGUAGCGUGAAGGAUGACUGCCCUAUGGGUUGUAAACUUCUUUUAUAAAGGAAUAAAGUCGGGUAUGGAUACCCGUUUGCAUGUACUUUAUGAAUAAGGAUCGGCUAACUCCGUG